AUCUCGGCUCUCGCAUCGAUGAAGAACGUAGCGAAAUGCGAUACUUGGUGUGAAUUGCAGAAUCCCGUGAACCAUCGAGUCUUUGAACGCAAGUUGCGCCCGAAGCCUUCGGGCCGAGGGCACGCCUGCCUGGGCGUCACGCAUCGCGUCGCCCCCCCCACCCCGCUCGAACAGAGCGG
rnacentral:rRNA from 1 species